UACGAAGGGGGCUAGCGUUGCUCGGAAUCACUGGGCGUAAAGGGUGCGUAGGCGGGGUUUUAAGUCAGGGGUGAAAUCCUGGAGCUCAACUCCAGAACUGCCUUUGAUACUGGCGAUCUUGAGUCCGGGAGAGGUGAGUGGAACUGCGAGUGUAGAGGUGAAAUUCGUAGAUAUUCGCAAGAACACCAGUGGCGAAGGCGGCUCACUGGCCCGGUACUGACGCUGAGGUGCGAAAGCGUGGGGAGCAAACAGG
rnacentral:rRNA from 1 species